AUAAAACAAACACCGCGGAAAAACGUCUGCGCAUGCGUCAACCGUACCUGUAAUAGUAUUGCGAACUUGAUGAGAAGCUGUUCCGAACGUUUCCGAAGGCUCAAAAUGGCGGUAAAAAGGAGUGACUUCAUUGUGCGUCUUUACAGCCAGAUUUCGAGCGCAAAAAUAAACAUGUCAUUCUAAAAACUAGGAAUAAAUACAGCCAGAAGGUUCAAGAAAUUGUAUUGUACAAGAACAUGAACUAAAGGUGAUUGUUGACAAAUUUAUUGUCUGAAACAUUUUGUUUAUCAACUAAGCA